UCAUUACACAAUACAUAUGAAGGCUUCGGCUGGAUUAUUUAUUUCACCCUUGUCUUUUGCGCACUUGUUGUUUCCUGGGCGGGUUCGCCCGCCACCAGGACCACACCAUAAACCUUUUUUGUUAAUGCAGUCAGCGUCAGUACAACAAAUGUAAAUCAUUUACAACUUUCAACAACGGAUCUCUUGGUUCUGGCAUCGAUGAAGAACGCAGCGAAAUGCGAUACGUAGUGUGAAUUGCAGAAUUCAGUGAAUCAUCGAAUCUUUGAACGCACAUUGCGCCCUUUGGUAUUCCAAAGGGCAUGCCUGUUCGAGCGUCAUUUGUACCCUCAAGCUUUGCUUGGUGUUGGGCGUUUUGUCUUUGCUCGCCAAAGACUCGCCUUAAAACGAUUGGCAGCCGACCUCUUGGUUUCGCAGCGCAGCACAAUUUUGCGCUUGCAAAUCAGCAAGUUGGCACUCCAUCAAGAACAUUUUCUUACGUUUGACCUCGGAUCAGGUAAGGAUACCCGCUGAAACUUAAAGCAUAUCAAUAAGCGGAGGA
rnacentral:rRNA from 1 species